rnacentral:rRNA from 1 species
AUUGAACGCUGGCGGCAGGCCUAACACAUGCAAGUCGAGCGGAGCGGCGGACGGGUGAGUAAUGCCUAGGAAUCUGCCUGGUAGUGGGGGAUAACGUCCGGAAACGGGCGCUAAUCCCGCAUACUAUCAGAUGAGCCUAGGUCGGAUUAGCUAGUUGGUGGGGUAAAGGCUUACCAAGGCGACGAUCAGUAACUGGUCUGCGAGGAUGAUCAGUCACACUGGAAGUGAGAAACGGUCCAGACGCCUAGAGGAGGCAGCAGUGGGGAAUAUUUGACAAUGGGCGAAAGCCUGAUCCAGCCAUGCCGCGUGUGUGAAGAAGGUCUUCGGAUUGGAAAUCAAUUUAAGUUGGGAGGCGUGACCAACAGAAUAAGCACCGGCUAACUUCGUGCCAGCAGCCGCGGUAAAC